rnacentral:rRNA from 1 species
GACAGAGGAUGCAAGCGUUAUCCGGAAUGAUUGGGCGUAAAGCGUCUGUAGGUGGCUUUUUAAGUCUGCCGUCAAAUCCCAGGGCUCAACCCUGGACAGGCGGUGGAAACUACCAAGCUAGAGUACGGUAGGGGCAGAGGGAAUUUCCGGGGGAGCGGUGAAAUGCGUAGAGAUCCGGAAGAACACCGGUGGCGAAGGCGGCCUGCUGGGCAGUGGCUGACGCUGAGGCGCGACAGCGUGGGGAGCAAACAGG